AUUGAACGCUGGCGGCAGGCCUAACACAUGCAAGUCGAGCGGAAACGAGUUAUCUGAACCUUCGGGGAACGAUAACGGCGUCGAGCGGCGGACGGGUGAGUAAUGCCUGGGAAAUUGCCCUGAUGUGGGGGAUAACUAUUGGAAACGAUAGCUAAUACCGCAUAACGUCUACGGACCAAAGAGGGGGACCUUCGGGCCUCUCGCUUCAGGAUAUGCCCAGGUGGGAUUAGCUAGUUGGUGAGGUAAUGGCUCACCAAGGCGACGAUCCCUAGCUGGUCUGAGAGGAUGAUCAGCCACACUGGAACUGAGACACGGUCCAGACUCCUACGGGAGGCAGCAGUGGGGAAUAUUGCACAAUGGGCGCAAGCCUGAUGCAGCCAUGCCGCGUGUAUGAAGAAGGCCUCGGUUGUAAGUACGUUUACUAGUCGUGAGGAGGACGAAUACAGUUAAUAGACUGUGUUGUUUGUACGUUAGUCGACAGAAGAAGACACCGG
rnacentral:rRNA from 1 species